GUGAAUCAUCGAAUUUUUGAACGCAAAUUGCACUCCCUGGUAUUCCGUAGAGUAUGCCUGUUCGAGGGUCAGUAUAAUCAAAAUCGGCGCCAUGCCUUUUGGGUGACGUACAGGAGUUCGGGUUAUCUUAACUCUUUUUUUUAUGAGACUUAAAAUUAACAUUAUUUUUUGCCCACUUUUGAGACGUAUAUAACUUUUUUUUCUUUGUUUCAUAAGC
rnacentral:misc_RNA from 1 species